rnacentral:lncRNA from 1 species
CAAGGCUCCUGCUCUGGAGUCUUACCUCGUCUGGGGGAUGAAGCUCUGUUGACAGGAGGCGCCUGGGUUUGAGGGAGGUUUCCGAAAGCCAGGAGGAGAACCUGGAAGUUGAGCAUAAUGCCAUAAAGGUUGCUCCAGUGGACCAGGCCUCUGGACUUCUUCUACCCGCUUCCUUCAUUCAUUACACCUUUACUGAGCACUGACUGCAUUCUAGACCUUGCGAGCUAGGGGUGAAUGGAGGCAGAAGAAAUCCCUGCUGUCAUAGAUUGGAUCUUCCAGUGGGAACCAGGUAAUGGAAUGAUGUGAUGAAAGUACAUUCCUAAUGCGUUACACCGUGCUAAGUUCUUUGGGG